CCUACGGGGGGCAGCAGUGAGGAAUAUUGGUCAAUGGGCGAGAGCCUGAACCAGCCAAGUCGCGUGAAGGAUGAAGGAUCUAUGGGUUGUAAACUGCUUUUAUAGGGGAAUAAAGUGAGGAACGUGUUCCUUUUUGUAUGUACCAUAUGAAUAAGCAUCGGCUAACUCCGUGCCAGCAGCCGCGGUAAUACGGAGGAUGCGAGCGUUAUCCGGAUUUAUUGGGUUUAAAGGGUGCGUAGGUGGUUAAUUAAGUCAGCGGUGAAAGUUUGUGGCUCAACCAUAAAAUUGCCGUUGAAACUGGUAGACUUGAGUAUAUUUGAGGUAGGCGGAAUGCGUGGUGUAGCGGUGAAAUGCAUAGAUAUCACGCAGAACUCCGAUUGCGAAGGCAGCUUACUAAACUAUAACUGACACUGAGGCACGAAAGCGUGGGUAUCAAACAGGAUUAGAUACCCGUGUAGUC
rnacentral:rRNA from 1 species